rnacentral:rRNA from 1 species
UACGUAGGGUGCGAGCGUUAAUCGGAAUUACUGGGCGUAAAGCGUGCGCAGGCGGUUCGCAAAGUCUGAUGUGAAAGCCCCGGGCUCAACCUGGGAACUGCAUUGGAAACUAACGGGCUCGAGUGUGGCAGAGGGGGGUGGAAUUCCACGUGUAGCAGUGAAAUGCGUAGAGAUGUGGAGGAACACCGAUGGCGAAGGCAGCCCCCUGGGCUAACACUGACGCUCAGGCACGAAAGCGUGGGGAGCGAACAAG